CGUAGGGUGCGAGCGUUAAUCGGAAUUACUGGGCGUAAAGCGUGCGCAGGCGGUUUUGUAAGACAGAUGUGAAAUCCCCGGGCUCAACCUGGGACCUGCAUUUGUGACUGCAAGGCUAGAGUACGGUAGAGGGGGAUGGAAUUCCGCGUGUAGCAGUGAAAUGCGUAGAUAUGCGGAGGAACACCGAUGGCGAAGGCAAUCCCCUGGACCUGUACUGACGCUCAUGCACGAAAGCGUGGGGAGCAAACAGGAUUAGAUACCCUGGUAGUCCACGCCCUAAACGAUGUCAACUGGUUGUUGGGUCUUUACUGACUCAGUAACGAAGCUAACGCGUGAAGUUGACCGCCUGGGGAGCACGGCCGCAAGGUUG
rnacentral:rRNA from 1 species